rnacentral:rRNA from 1 species
GUUUACUUUUAAGGGCCGUCGGAGACUACGACGUUGAUAGGUUACAGGUGUAAGGGUGGUAACAUCGAAGCCGAGUAAUACUAAUUGCCCGUAAGCUUUAAUUUU